CGCGAAUGGCUCAUUACAACAGCCGUUGUUUCUUGGAUCUUGAUUUACUUGGAUAACUGUGGUAAUUCUAGAGCUAAUACAUGCAACCAAGCUCCGACCUUGCGGGAGGAGCGCAUUUAUUAGACCAAGACCAAUCGGGCUCUGCCUGACUUUUGGUGACUCUGAAUAACUUUGCUGAUCACACGGUCCAGCACCGGUGACAUAUCUUUCAAGUGUCUGCCCUAUCAACUUUCGAUGGUAGUUUAUGCGCCUACCAUGGUUGUAACGGGUAACGGAGAAUAAGGGUUCGACUCCGGAGAGGGAGCCUGAGAAAUGGCUACCACAUCCAAGGAGGGCAGCAGGCGCGCAAAUUACCCAACCUCAGUUCGAGGAGGUAGUGACGAAAAAUAACGAGACGGUCCUCUAUGAGGCCCGUCAUCGGAAUGGGUACAAUUUAAACCCUUUAACGAGGAUCUAUUGGAGGGCAAGUCUGGUGCCAGCAGCCGCGGUAAUUCCAGCUCCAAUAGCAUAUGCCAAUUCUGUUGCUGUUAAAAAGCUCGUAGUUGGAUCUUUUCCGAGGAGCCAGUCUGCCUAAAGGGUACGUACUGGUUUCCGAGGAUUUUUCUGCUGGUCUUCCCGUGGUGCUCUUCACCGGGUGUCACGGGUGGCUAGCGCUUUUACUUUGAAAAAAUUAGAGUGCUCAAAACAGGCGUUACUGCCCGAAUAGUGGUGCAUGGAAUAAUGGAAUAGGAUCUCGGUUCUAUUUUGUUGGUUUUAGGAGCGCGAGAUAAUGAUUAAGAGGGACAGACGGGGGCAUUCGUAUUGCGGCGUUAGAGGUGAAAUUCUUGGAUCGCCGCAAGACGAACAACUGCGAAAGCAUUUGCCAAGAAUGUCUUCAUUAAUCAAGAACGAAAGUUAGAGGUUCGAAGGCGAUCAGAUCCCGCCC
rnacentral:rRNA from 1 species